UUGGGAGGGCAAGUCUGGUGCCAGCAGCCGCGGUAAAUCCAGCUCCAAUAGCGUAUAUUAAAGUUGUUGCAGUUAAAAAGCUCGUAGUUGAAUUUCGGGGUUAGUAGGUUGGUCAUGCCACUGGUAUGUACUGGUCUCACUGAUUCCUCCUUCCUGAUGAGCCGUAAUGCCAUUAAUUUGGUGUUGCGAGGAAUCUGGACUGUUACUUUGAAAAAAUUAGAGUGUUUAAAGCAAGCUAACGCUUGAAUACAUUAGCAUGGAAUAAUGAAAUAGGACGUUCGAUCCUAUUUUGUUAGUUUCUAGGAUUGACGUAAUGAUUAAUAGGGAUAGUUGGGGGCAUUAGUAUUCAAUUGUCAGAGGUGAAAUUCUUGGAUUUAUUGAAGACUAACUACUGCGAAAGCAUUUGCCAAGGAUGUUUUCAUUAAUCAAGAACGAAAGUUAGGGGAUCGAAGACGAUCAGAUACCGUCGUAGUCUUAACCAUAAACUAUGCCGACUAGGAAUCAGACGAUGUUAAUUUUUUAAUGACUCGUUUGGCACCUUACGGGAAACCAAAGUGUUUGGGUUC
rnacentral:rRNA from 1 species